rnacentral:rRNA from 1 species
AUUGAACGCUGGCGGCAGGCUUAACACAUGCAAGUCGAGCGAGAGGCGGACGGGUGAGUAAUGUCUGGGAAACUGCCUGAUGGGGGGGGAUAACUACUGGAAACGGUAGCUAAUACCGCAUAACCUAAUAUGUGCCCAGAGGGGAUCAGCUAGUAGGUGGGGUAAAGGCUCCCUUAGGCGACGAUCCCUCGCUGGUAUGAGAGGAAUACCAGCCACACGGGAACUGAUACACGGUUCAGACUCCUACGGGAGGCAGAAGUGGAGAAUAUUGCACAAUGGGCGCAAGUCUGAUGCAGCCAUGCCGCGUGUGUGAAGAAGGCCUUCGGGUUGUAAAGCACUUUUAGCGAGGAGGCGUUACUCGCAGAAGAAGCACGGGCUAACUCCGUGCCAGCAGCCGCGGUAAUAG